UACGUAGGGUGCAAGCGUUGUCCGGAAUUAUUGGGCGUAAAGAGCUCGUAGGCGGUUUGUCGCGUCUGCUGUGAAAACCCAGGGCUUAACCCUGGGCCUGCAGUGGGUACGGGCAAACUAGAGUGCGGUAGGGGAGAUCGGAAUUCCUGGUGUAGCGGUGAAAUGCGCAGAUAUCAGGAGGAACACCGGUGGCGGAGGCGGAUCUCUGGGCCGUAACUGACGCUGAGGAGCGAAAGCAUGGGUAGCGAACAGG
rnacentral:rRNA from 1 species